rnacentral:rRNA from 1 species
GUGUCAGCCGCCGCGGUAAUACAGAGGGUGCAAGCGUUGUUCGGAAUUAUUGGGCGUAAAGCGCGUGUAGGCGGCUUUGCAAGUCGGGUGUGAAAUCCCCCAGCUUAACUGGGGAAGUGCGCUCGAAACUGCAGAGCUCGAGUACCGGAGAGGAUGGCGGAAUUCCCCAAGUAGAGGUGAAAUUCGUAGAUAUGGGGAGGAACACCGGUGGCGAAGGCGGCCAUCUGGACGGCUACUGACGCUGAGACGCGAAAGCGUGGGGAGCAAACAGGAUUAGAUACCCCUGUAGUCC